rnacentral:rRNA from 1 species
UACGUAGGGGGCAAGCGUUGUCCGGAUUUAUUGGGCGUAAAGAGCGUGUAGGCGGCCAGACAGGUCCGUUGUGAAAACUCGAGGCUCAACCUCGAGACGCCGAUGGAAACCGUUUGGCUAGAGUCCGGAAGAGGAGAGUGGAAUUCCUGGUGUAGCGGUGAAAUGCGCAGAUAUCAGGAAGAACACCUGUGGCUAAGGCGGCUCUCUAGUACGGUACUGACGCUGAGACGCGAAAGCGUGGGGAGCGAACAGG